rnacentral:rRNA from 1 species
AUUGAACGCUGGCGGCAUGCCUUACACAUGCAAGUCGAACGGUAACAGGUCUUCGGAUGCUGACGAGUGGCGAACGGGUGAGUAAUACAUCGGAACGUGCCUAGUAGUGGGGGAUAACUACUCGAAAGAGUGGCUAAUACCGCAUGAGAUCUACGGAUGAAAGCAGGGGAUCGCAAGACCUUGUGCUACUAGAGCGGCCGAUGGCAGAUUAGGUAGGUGGUGGGAUAAAAGCUUACCAAGCCGACGAUCUGUAGCUGGUCCGAGAGGACGAUCAGCCACACUGGGACUGAGACACGGCCCAGACUCCUACGGGAGGCAGCAGUGGGGAAUUUUGGACAAUGGGCGCAAGCCUGAUCCAGCAAUGCCGCGUGCAGGAUGAAGGCCUUCGGGUUGUAAACUGCUUUUGUACGGAACGAAAAGCCCUGGGUUAAUACCCUGGGGUCAUGACGGUACCGUAAGAAUAAGCACCGGCUAACUACGUGCCAGCCGCCGCCGUAAAAC